rnacentral:rRNA from 1 species
UAGGGCCCGACACAAGGACGCCACCUGGUGGAUGGCUCGGCUUGGGCGCCGAGGAAGGCCGUGACAAGCUGCGAUAAGCCCCGGGUAGGCGCAUGUAGCCGUUGAACCGGGGAUCGCCGAAUGGGACUUCCUGCCGGUGGGCAACCACCGGCGCUCCGGGCACGGAGCGGGAACCCCCCGAACUGAAGCAUCUAAGUAGGGGGAGGAAAAGAAACCAAUAGGGAUUCCCUGAGUAGGGGCGACCGAAAGGGGAGUAGGGCAAACCGAACCCACCAUGGAAACAUGGUGGGGAUGUGGAGUUGCAGGGCCCAGCCGCCGCCUCUUCAAGGAAGCCGAAGUGGCCUGGAAUGGCCCGCCGUAGAGGGUGACAGCCCCGUAGGCGUAACUUGAAAGGCGCUGGGCUGGGUCCCCUGAGUACCACGGGUUGGAUAUCUCGUGGGAAGCUGGGAGGCACCAACUUCCAACCCUAAAUACGUCCCAAGACCGAUAGCGCACCAGUACCGUGAGGGAAAGCUGAAAAGCACCGCGGGAGCGGGGUGAAAAGUGCCUGAAACCAGGUGGCUAGAGGCGUGCAUGGCCCGAAAGGAUAGAUCCUCCCCGAAGGAAACCCCGGCGACGGGGAAGUACGAGGGGAGGGGACCAGGGUCAUGCGAUCCGUCUUGAAACACGGGCCGGGGAGUUCAUGGCUGUGGCGAGCCUAAGGGGGUUAACCCCGAAGGCGCAGGGAAACCGACAAGCCCGCAGCCGGGGAAACCCGGUGAGGGGCGGGGUCCGAAGAGGGCCCGGAGUCACAGCCAUGAGACCCGAAACCAGGCGAUCUAGCCCUGGGUAGGGUGAAGCCGGGGGAACCCGGUGGAGGCCCGAAGAGGUUCUGACGUGCAAUUCGUUCUCAUGACCUGGGGCUAGGGGCAAAAGACCCAUCAAGCCUGGUGAUAGCUGGUUCCCCCCGAAGAAGCUCGCAGGCUUGCCCGGCGGGAGGUAGCUGGCGGGGUAGAGCACUGAUUGGGAAGCAAGGGGCGUAAAGCCUCACUUCCCUCUCAAACUCCGAACCUGCCAGCGCCGUAGAUCGCCGGAGGCGGGUUCUAGGGGAUAAGCCCCUAGGCCGAGAGGGGGACAACCCAGACUGGGGUUAAGGCCCCAAAGUGCCAGCUAAGUGUUAAGCCAAAGGGCGUCCGCCGCCGAAGACAGUGGGGAGGUAUGCUUAGAAGCAGCCAUCCUUUAAAAAGUGCGUAACAGCUUACCCACCGAGGUGGCGGGCACCGAAAAUGGACGGGGCUCAAGCUGGCCGCCGAGACCCCAGGGCACGGCCUGUGGCCGUGAUCCGGUAGGGGGGCGCGUCGGCUGGGCAGAAGCCGGGCCGUGAGGUCCGGUGGACCGGCCGAUGUUGCAGAUCCCGGUGGUAGUAACAGCGUAGUCGGGUGAGAAUCCCGACCGCCGAAGGGGCAAGGGUUCCUCGGCAAUGCGUCGUCAGCCGAGGGUUAGUCGGUCCUAAGGCUGCACGUAACCCGUAGCAGCCGAAAGGGAAGCCGGUUUAUAUUCCGGCACCAUGGGGGUACGUGCGGCGACGCAAGCCCAACUCCUGACGCUUCAGGGUAGGCUGAGCAGGGCCGCCGCCCUGUUUAAGCGUAUAAGCCUGGGGAGAGCCGUAAUGGCGAGAACCAGGCGAAAGCGCGAAUAGCCCUCCUUAUGGAGGGUUCAGCCGAUCCCUGGAGCCAAUGAAAAGGGAGUUGGGAAGGAUCCCCCAUGCCCGUACCCAGAACCGACACAGGUGCCCCUAGGUGAGUAGCCUAAGGCGUGUCGGGUCCAACCCAGGCAAGGGAAAUCGGCAAAUUGGCCCCGUAACUUCGGGAGAAGGGGUGCCUGGAGUCUUCGGCUGAAGCCGGGGACACCAGGUCGCAGUGACAAGGGGGGCCGGACUGUUUAAUAAAAACAUAGCUUCCCGCUAGCCCGAAAGGGUGUGUACGGGAAGUGAAUCCUGGCCAGUGGCGGUCCGUGAAAGCCGGGUCCAACCGGCUGAAGCGCCGCUAAACGCCGGGAGUAACUCUGACUCUCUUAAGGUAGCCAAAUGCCUUGCCGGAUAAGUACCGGCGUGCAUGAAUGGAUUAACUAGGUCCCCACUGUCCCUGCCUGGGGCCCGGUGAACCCACAACCUGGAGAACGGUCCAGGGACCCCCAACGGGGAGAGAAGACCCUGUGGAGCUUUACUGCAGCCUGUACCUGGGGUAUGGUCAUGGGUGCAGAGUGUAGGCGGGAGCCGUCGAUCCCAGCCUCUCCGGGGGCUGGGGGAGGCGCCAUUGGAACACCGCCCACCUGUGACUGUACCCCUAACCGGAGGCUUGCCCUCCGGGACAAGUGCAGGUGGGCAGUUUGGCUGGGGCGGCACGCCCUUGAAAAGAUAUCAAGGGCGCCCUAAGGUCAGCUCAGGCGGGUCAGAACUCCGCCGUAGAGGGCAAGGCCAAAAGCUGGCCUGACUGGAUCCUUGAAAAUAAGGGAUCCAGGGGCGAAAGCCGGGCCUAGCGAUCCUUCGUGUCCCCAUUGGUGGGGGCCGGAGGUGACAGAAAAGUUACCCCAGGGGUAACAGAGUUGUCACGGGCGAUAGCCCACAUAGACCCCGUGGCUUGCUUCCUCGAUGUCGGCUCUUCCUAUCCUGGCCGUGCAGUAGCGGCCAAGGGUGGGGCUGUUCUCCCAUUAAAAGGGAACGUGAGCUGGGUUUAGACCGUCGUGAGACAGGUUGGAUUCUACCUGUUGGGGGUGUUGGCUGCCUGAGGGUAGGGGGCCCUCGGUACGAGAGGAACGGGGCGCCGCGGCCUCUAGUCUACCGGUUGUCCGGUAGGGCACUGCCGGGCAGCCACGCCGUAACCGAUAAGGGCUGAAAGCAUCUAAGCCCGAAGCGGGACCCGAAAAUAGGCAGCCAUUCUCCAGCAACCCCGUAAUGGGGCCCGGGACAGGCGACUGUAACGGGCGCUGGAGACGAGGACUCCCGUAGAAGACGGGGUUGAUGGGGUCGGGGUGUAAGCGCCAAGGCUUCGGCCGAGGCGUUCAGCCCGCGACUCCCAACCGUCCGAGCGUGCGGGUCCGA